UGGGGAAUUUUUGGCAAUGGGGGAAACCCUGACCCAGCAACGCCGCGUGAAGGAUGAAGUAUUUCGGUAUGUAAACUUCGAAAGAAUAGGAAGAAUAAAUGACGGUACUAUUUAUAAGGUCCGGCUAACUACGUGCCAGCAGCCGCGGUAAUACGUAGGGACCAAGCGUUGUUCGGAUUUACUGGGCGUAAAGGGCGCGUAGGCGGCAUGACAAGUCACUUGUGAAAUCUCUGGGCUUAACCCAGAACGGCCAAGUGAUACUGUCGCGCUAGAGUGCAGAAGGGGCAAUCGGAAUUCUUGGUGUAGCGGUGAAAUGCGUAGAUAUCAAGAGGAACACCUGAGGUGAAGACGGGUUGCUGGGCUGACACUGACGCUGAGGCGCGAAAGCCAGGGGAGCAAACGGGAUUAGAUACCCCCGUAGUCCCUGAGCGGGCUGGCAAGGCGCAU
rnacentral:rRNA from 1 species